CUCACAAAGUGGCUGUUAUAUGUAAAUUUAAAUCAUAUCACAGCCAGCUUUGAUGAGCA
rnacentral:pre_miRNA from 1 species